CCGGCUCCUUCCUUUGGGCGCCCGGCCUCGGCGGCGCGCGGGGCAAAUGGAGUGGGUGCUCGCGGAUGCGCUGCUAGCGCAGAGCCGGGACCCCCGGGCCCUGCUUGGGGCGCUGUGCCGCGGGGAGGCGUCCGCGGAGCGCGUGGAGACGCUGCGCUUUCUUCUGCAGCGACUCGAGGACCAGGAGGCCAGCGGUGCCGGCGGCGCGGGCGCGCUCCCGGAGGCGGCGCGCGAGGUCGCGGCCGGGUACCUGGUGCCGCUGCUGCGGAGCCUGCGUGGGCGACCCGCGGGCGGCGCGGACCCCGGCUCCCCGGCCCACCAGCGCCGGCGCCUGCUGAGGGCGGCGGGCGCGGCCCUGCGCUCGUGCGCCCGCCUCGCCGGGGGCCCGCAGCUGGCGGCCGCGCUGGCCGAGGAGGCGCUGCGCGACUUAGUCGCCGUGGGGCGGGCGCCCGGCCUCGAGGGGGCCUCCGAGGCGGCCGUGGAGGUGCUGGCGGCCGUAGGGCCCUGCCUGCGGCCCCGCGAGGACGCGGCGCUGCUGGAGCGGGUGGCGCAGGCCGCCCUCGGCCUGGCGCUGGGCGGGGACGAGGCGGGGCCUGCCGAGGACGCGGCGGCGCUGGUGGCCGGGCGGCUGCUGCCGGCCCUGGGCCAGUGCGGCGGGGCGGCGCUGCGGGCCGUGUGGGGCGGGCUGGUCGCGCCUGGGGCGCCCUCGGGGCCGGGCCGCGUCGGGCCGCAGCUGCUGGUGCUCAGCGCCCUGGCCGAGAAGCUGCUGCCCGAGCCCGGCGUGGAGCGCGCCCUGGCCGCACGCGAAGCCGGCCCGGACGCGCGGCGCUGCUGGCGAUUCUGGAGGACCGUGCAGGCCGGGCUGGCCCAGGCCGAGGACGCCCUGACGCGCAAGCGGGCGCGCUAUUUGCUGCAGCGCGCGGUGGAGGUGUCGGCGGAGCUGGGGGCGGAGUGCGCGUGCGCCCCCCAGGAAGGAACUGGCCCAAGUCUGUUUUGGUGGUCUGAGAAGAAAAAAGAUGAGCUGCUAAAGUUUUGGGAAAACUAUAUUUUAAUUAUGGAAACUUUUGAAGGAAAUCAGAUACAUGUUAUAAAGCCAGUUUUACCAAAGCUAAACAAUCUGUUUGAAUAUGCAGUGUCAGAGGAAAAUGGAUGCUGGCUCUUCCACCCAUCCUGGCACCUGUGUAUUUAUAAAAGAAUGUUUGAAAGUGAAAACAAAAUCCUGACCAAAGAAGGCGUUACCCAUUUUUUGGAGCUGUGUGAAACAAGGGUUCUCCCAUUUUCACCAGAAUUUUCUGAGUUUAUUGUUGGACCAUUGAUGGACGCACUUUCAGAGAGCUCUCUGUAUAGCAGGUCCCCAGGCCAGCUGAUAGGAAGUGGUUCACCAUUGGGACUGAAGUUACAGAAGUUUUUAGUUGCUUACAUUUCUCUUCUUCCAGAAGAAAUAAAAAGUAGUUUCCUGUUAAAGUUUAUUCAGAGGAUGACAAGUAGACAUUGGUGUGCUGUUCCCAUUCUGUUUCUGUCUAAGGCUUUGGCAAACAUCCCAAGAUGUAAAGCCCUGGGUAUAGAAGGCCUUCUUGCCCUCAGGGAUGUCCUCCAGUGCACCAUGAUCACACAUCAGAUUCUGCUGAGAGGGGCGGCCCAGUGCUAUCUCCUUCAGACGGCCAUGAAUCUAGUGGAUGUGGAGAAAGUGUCGCUUUCGGAUGUCUCAACUUUUCUCAUGUCUGUGAGGCAAGAGGAGUGCUUGGGACGACAAACUUCAUUGUGGACAGAGCUCUGUGAUUGGUUGUGUGUUAAUGAAAGCUGUUUUAGACGAGCCUCAAUUGGUAGUUCUACUGGACUCCACGAGACGUCGACUUUAAAUGCUUACGUCAAGAGCCUCGUCCAAGAAUAUAUCAAGUCACCUGCCUGGGACCGAGGAGAAAAGUGCUGCAUGCCUGACUGGUUUGAAGCCAAGCUUGUUGCUCUGAUGGUCUUGCUCGCCGUAGAUGUGGAAGGAAUGAGGAGUCAAUAUAGUGAAAAGCGGAGAACACAGAAUGUAUUAAGGAUAUUCUUAGACCCUCUCCUGGAUGCCCUUGUGAAGUUUGGCACAAAUGCCUACAUGCCCUUGCUGAGAACUGACAGAUGCCUGCAGUUGCUGUUGAAGUUACUGCACACUUGCUUGUUGAAAGGUUCCAGUUCCCAAGAUGAUGAGGUGUUUACCCUUCUUCAGAACUUUAUCUUGUCCACCUCAGAGAGCAUUUCUGAAUUUAUUCUCAGAAGACUUACUAUGAAUGAACUAAAUAGUAUUUCAGAUCUGGACCGUUGCCGUUUAUACCUGACGGUAUUAACUGAGCUCAUAAAUCUCCAUCUGAAGGUUGGCUGGAAAAGAGGUAACCCUAUUUGGAGAGUUAUUUCUCCUUUGAAAAAUGCAUCCGUGCGGCAUCUUCAGGAGAUGAACAGUGGACAGGAGCCGACGCUCGGCAGGCAGAUUCAGGGAGUCGUCAGUAUGGCCUCCUUGGCCAUGGUCUGUGAGGCCACUGACCAGAAGCCAGAACUACAGCUGGACUCUCUGGAUGCUGGACCCAUGGAGAGGCUUCUCUGCUCUCUUCCGCUCAAUCAGACUCUGCAGAAGCCCCGCACUGAUGGAGAGAGCAGUUUUUCUGAAGAAUCAUCAUCUUCUCAAGGAUGGGGGAAAAUAGUUGCACAAUAUAUUCAUGAUCGGUGGGUCUGCCUCUCCUUCUUGUUGAAAAAAUAUCACACCCUUAUACCAACCUCAGAGGGUGAAAUUCUGGAACCCAUUCUGCCUGCUGUUCAGAUGCCAGAAAGGACUUUGCAGUCUGCACUGGAAGCCCUCACAAUUCUUCCUUCUGAUCAAGUUUUACCUGUGUUCCAUUGCAUGAAAAUUUUGGUUCCGAAGCUUCUGACCUCCUGUGAAUCACUCUGCAUAGAGUCUUUUGACCUGGCUUGGAAAAUCAUAUCUUCUUUAAGCAACACUCAGCUGAUAUUCUGGUCUAAUUUGAAAGCUUUUGUUCAGUUCGUUUUUGAUACCAAAGUUCUUACCAUUGCUGCGAAAAUCAAGGGCCAAGCAUAUUUCAAAAUAAAAGAGAUUAUGUAUAAGAUAAUUGAAAUGUCUGCUAUAAAAACUGGAGUUUUCAAUAUACUGAUAACUUACUGCUGCAAAUCUUGGAUAGUUUCUGCUUCAAAUGUAUCCCAAGGGUCUUUAUCAAGUGCUAAAAAUUACAGCGAACUUGUCCUCGAGGCGUGUAUAUUUGGAACAGUGUUCCGGCGUGAUCAGAGACUUAUUCAGGACGUACAGACCUUCAUAGAAAAUCUUGGACACAAUUGUGCAGCAAACAUUGUUAUUGAAAAUACUAAAAGAGAGGACCAUUAUGUGAGAAUUUGUGCCAUCAAAUUCCUGUGUUUAUUAGAUGGCUCAAAUAUGUCUCAUAAGUUGUUCAUGGAAGAUCUUACAAUCAAGCUAUUAGAUAAAGAUGAGUUGGUGUCCAAGUCUAGAACUCGAUACUAUGUGAAUUCUCAGCAACACAGAGUGAAAAACCGGAUAUGGCAGACCCUGCUUGUACUUUUCCCCAGAUUUGACCAGAAUUUCUUGAAUAGAAUUAUCGACAGGAUUUUCCAGGCUGGCUUCAUCAAUAAUCAAGCAUCUAUAAAAUAUUUUAUAGAAUGGAUUAUUAUACUGAUUCUUCAUAAAUUCCCCCAGUUUCUUCUGAAGUUCUGGGACUGUUUUUCUUAUGGGGAAGAAAACCUGAAAACAAGCAUUUGUACAUUUUUAUCAGUUUUGUCACAUUUGGACAUCGUUACUGAAAACAUUCCAGAAAAGAAACUGAUUCUGAAGCAAGCCCUCAUUAUCGUACUGCACUGGUGUUUCAAUCACAAUUUUAGUAUUCGGCUGUAUGCCUUAAUUGCGCUUAAGAAAAUCUGGGGCAUGUGUAAAGCACUGCACCUUGAAGAACUUGAUGCUUUGACUUCUGUUAUUGAAUCCAGUCUCAAUCAAGUGGAAAACAUGCAGGGAGCAGGGAACGCCAAGAAGAAUUGGCAACGCAUCCAAGAACAUUUCUUUUUUGCAGCAUUUCACCCACUUAAGGAUUACUGUCUGGAGGCAGUGUCUGACUUGUAAACACUGGAAGGGGGAAUAUUUAACUCUAAACAGAAAUCUGUUCUGACAUUAAAAAGGAAAUGAGUGAGAACAUUUGUGCAGCGCCCAGAAUGCUCUGUUUGACAUCUUUCUGAAGGACCCUUAAUAACUCUAGUGCUAAGUCAGCCUUUCCUAGUCAGUUCUCGAUCAGGAGUAAGUCCCUUGCCUCCCUCUGACUUUGACUGCCUCACCCUGAUACAUUUAUAUACUUUAUUUCCCAUUAAUUAUAUGAACCCUAACCGUAUGUGCAGAUAAAAUAAUGGCUCGCAGCAUGUGUAUUACAUUGAUCCCCAUGUAAGGAACAUUUAGCUGCAUUCAUGAUGCCUGCUUAAAUUUGCGCAAAUGUUGCUAACAAAAAGAAAACCACGUUCGUUCCAAAAACUGUUGUGAAGACUUGUGCCUUGUUACAAGGUUAUUAUUUCAUUUUUAAAUUGCUUAUUGUAAUUCUGCUUCUUACGUGCUUUCCACCUUUGAGGAUGACCUGGAUCUCAGUUUUGGUGGUAGGUAAGAAAAGUAAAGGAGGAUUGGUACGGAAUGACUGAGUAACCACUACUCACGGGGGUGUCAGGCUGGACGGCUGGCAGAUCACUGUCCUGUGCUGUUUUAACCUGAUCGUGUCCUACUUAACCAGUGAGGAAAUUGAAGCUGAGAAAUUGAGAAAGGUUAAUGGCUUGUCCAGUGUCCACAGCUAAGAUACACUGGAGGCAGAAUUUAGAUUCCCAAUUUGUACGGUGGCAGCAAGAGCAGAGAUUUGGCAUCAUGAGAGCUUGAGCUUGGCUGCUUAUGGACAAGUCUGGUUAUCGAUAAGUAGCAUUUAUCCAGGCGUUGUCCAACGUUAGUACUGAUGAAUUCCAAAAUACCUGCUGCUUUUAGCAAGAGCGUGGUGCCUAUGACAUACAGUGAGAAAUACUGCCCUCAAAGAUCUGUGUACUCUCAGGGAUUUCCUAAAUCAAUCCCCUAAUUCUUAGAGAAGAUAAGAAAUACAGAUGGACAGUUGCUACAAGAUAUAAAUGAGCGUAUGUAAUUUGAUCAGAGGUGAUAGUUUGGGAGAACACAUCAGUAAUAAUACAUAAGUUGUGCUUUAAACAUGUUAUCAUGUAUCUCAUUAUUAGUUUUAAGGGAAGAAAUUUAGAUUUUACAAUUC